GAUGGAUUGGUGCCUUCGGGAACUCUGAGACAGGUGCUGCAUGGCUGUCGUCAGCUCGUGUUGUGAAAUGUUGGGUUAAGUCCCGCAACGAGCGCAACCCUUAUCCUUUGUUGCCAGCGGUUAGGCCGGGAACUCAAAGGAGACUGCCAGUGAUAAACUGGAGGAAGGUGGGGAUGACGUCAAGUCAUCAUGGCCCUUACGAGUAGGGCUACACACGUGCUACAAUGCGCAUACAAAGAGAAGCGACCUCGCGAGAGCAAGCGGACCUCAUAAAGUGCGUCGUAGUCCGGAUUGGAGUCUGCAACUCGACUCCAUGAAGUCGGAAUCGCUAGUAAUCGUGGAUCAGAAUGCCACGGUGAAUACGUUCCCGGGCCUUGUACACACCGCCCGUCACACCAUGGGAGUGGGUUGCAAAAGAAGUAGGUAGCUUAACCUUCGGGAGGGCGCUUACCACUUUGUGAUUCAUGACUGGGGUGAAGUCGUAACAAGGUAAGCGUAGUGCU
rnacentral:rRNA from 1 species